rnacentral:rRNA from 1 species
AUUGAACGCUGGCGGCAGGCCUAACACAUGCAAGUCGAGCGGAUGAAGGGAGCUUGCUCCUGGAUUCAGCGGCGGACGGGUGAGUAAUGCCUAGGGAUCUGCCUGGUAGUGGGGGAUAACGUCCGGAAACGGGCGCUAAUACCGCAUACGUCCUGAGUGAGAAAGUGGGGGAUCUUCGGACCUCACGCUAUCAGAUGAGCCUAGGUCGGAUUAGCUAGUUGGUGGGGUAAAGGCCUACCAAGGCGACGAUCCGUAGCUGGUCUGAGAGGAUGAUCAGUCAUACUGGAACUGAGACACGGUCCAGACUCCUACGGGAGGCAGCAGUGGGGAAUAUUGGACAAAGGGCGAAAGCCUGAUCCAGCCAUGCCGCGUGUGUGAAGAAGGUCUUCGGAUUGUAAAGCACUUUAAGUUGGGAGGAAGGGCAGUAAGUUAAUACCUUGCUGUUUUGACGUUACCAACAGAAUAAGCACCGGCUAACUUCGUG